rnacentral:lncRNA from 1 species
CUCAGUAUUUUUCACUGACCUCCUCUCCGCAGGGUGGGGGCCUCCGGCGAUGCUGUGUAGCUCUGCACUGAACUCAAAGGUUCCAAUCAUCCAAGUUUCCUGGUUAUCUGGGGACUGGACUUAAGGGUCCAUGAGAGAAUCCUGUCAUCCGUUUCACUUGUAGAAGCUUGAAAAUUUCAUAAAUCAAACUCUUCUUCACUGGACCCCUUAGACGAUGCAGCUGGAUUUUUCUCACCUGUCGUUUUCAGGCAAGCAAACCUGCUUUUCCUCUGCCCAGAAGGGCUGGUUGUAACUCGAGUUGGUCAAUUGAAGGCGCAGGCUCCUCUACACUGCCUUCAAAGUCUCUCUCCUGUGUACAGGCAGCUCUUAGUGUCCUCUGAGAGCCAAUGGCCCAGGAUUUCUCAACCCCACACCGGAAAGGAUGUUGUAAUGUUUCUUCAAGAACUCUUUAAGGGUUAAAUCUGUA